UUAUGCAGUAAAACCCUUCGCAUUGCAGAUCUAUGGGGUGUCUGACAGGCAACCUGGGAACUGCUAGCUUCCUGAACAACCCAUGACGUCAUAAUAGCAGACGCGCUCCGAAGCUCCAUCGUGGUGCCCAGUGAUGUGAGGAAAAACUUUGAGUUCACCAUUAUGCUGGUCUACUGAGUCUGUCAUGAACCCAGUGGCCUCCAUGAAGUUCAAUACAAGACUGAAGAAUUGUUUGCAUACUAGAUGUCUACCUCCUACCAACUCCAGUUAAGAAAACGAGCAAGUCACAUCUGAGUCUGCUACCAGAUGUUGCCACAAAUUAUUGAAAAAACAGCUCCAUGUUGAAACAAAGGGUUUUUGUUGUUGUUGUUUUAACAUAAGGCUACUGUGGCAAUUUUUUUUUGGCCACCAGUAAAUAGUUAACUAUUUUACACACACACACAUAAGGCUACUGUGGCAUUUGUUUUGGCCACCAGUAAAUAGUUAACUAUUUUACACACACGCACACACACACACACACACACACACACACAGACAAAUAAAACCCAGAAAGCUUUUGACUAACUUGGUUCA
rnacentral:lncRNA from 1 species